AAGAUGCUAGUAACAAAAAUUACACCACCUUGUCAAGGUGAAAUUGUGGGUUAGAAUCCCGCGCAUCUUA
rnacentral:tRNA from 1 species